GUGGGGUAUAUACCUGCACCAGAAAGCGGCUGGUAGUUGGUCGGUAGGUAUGAUGUCCGUCACGCGAGAAGGCGCACGCGUGCUAGUAGCCAUUGGUCUAUUGAUUUCAAGAGAGUCCGAAUACGCCAGGGGGACCGGAACGGCGAUAGAACGGUUACCGGUAUAAUACGAGAACCGCACAACCCGAAGACACGGAUCCUGCACGGAUGGGCGUGGUGUCGAUGUCCAAGAGAGUGGGGUCGACUUACUUUUCAUUGGGUAUCACCAACCGAUUGAAACGCCCGUAAACCAGAAAACCAACCAUACGUACCUCGUCCAUCGUUCCAUAGGUUCCAGUUGUCGUGCGGCUUGAUGCUCGGAUACCUGAUGUAAUCCUGUAACGAACGACGCUCCGUGUAUAACCUCGAAUUACAGAGAACUGUAAAGAACUUCGAAGGGAUUUACAUCCAGUGCUUUUAUUAUCUCAACGGCCUAACGUGUCACGGAACGCGUUGGUAUCGUCGAUAGAAAAUUCGUAAUCAACUCCACCAUCCAGAUACUCAAGACUUUCUAUGUCGGAUGUGGCACAAAGUCUGUC